GUGGGGAAUAUUGGGCAAUGGGCGAAAGCCUGACCCAGCAACGCCGCGUGAAGGAAGAAGGUUUUCGGAUCGUAAACUUCUAUCCUUGGUGAAGAUAAUGACGGUAGCCAAGAAGGAAGCCCCGGCUAACUACGUGCCAGCAGCCGCGGUAAUACGUAGGGGGCAAGCGUUGUCCGGAAUGAUUGGGCGUAAAGGGCGCGUAGGCGGCCCGGUAAGUCUGAAGUGAAAGUCCUGCUUUUAAGGUGGGAAUUGCUUUGGAUACUGUCGGGCUUGAGUGCAGGAGAGGUAAGAGGAAUUCCCGGUGUAGCGGUGAAAUGCGUAGAGAUCGGGAGGAACACCAGUGGCGAAGGCGGCUUACUGGACUGUAACUGACGCUGAGGCGCGAAAGUGUGGGGAGCAAACAGGAUUAGAUACCCUUGUAGUCC
rnacentral:rRNA from 1 species